rnacentral:lncRNA from 1 species
GUUCCUGGCAGGACAGCAAUUCACGUGCAACGAUGAGGCCAAGACAGCAGUCCGACAGUGGUUCCACAGUCAGCCGGACGAAUUAUACCACAGGGGCAUCUCAGAUUUAGUGCUGUGGUAGGACAAAUGUCUGAACCAAAUGUCUGGGGGGACUAUGUGGAAGAAUAGUGUAAGGUACGUAGAAUAGUACGUAUAUUUGUAAUUACCUGUAUGUACCUUACUUUGGCUAAUAAAAAAUAGGGACAA